CACGUAGGGUGCGAGCGUUGUCCGGAAUUAUUGGGCGUAAAGAGCUCGUAGGCGGUCUGUCGCGUCGGAUGUGAAAGCCCGGGGCUUAACCCCGGGUCUGCGGUGGGUACGGGCAGACUAGAGUGAUGUAGGGGAGACUGGAAUUCCUGGUGUAGCGGUGAAAUGCGCAGAUAUCAGGAGGAACACCGAUGGCGAAGGCAGGUCUCUGGGCAUUAACUGACGCUGAGGAGCGAAAGCAUGGGGAGCGAACAGG
rnacentral:rRNA from 1 species